CUUGAAGAUGCUGCUUCUGGAUGCAAAGCGAAUUUUCAUUUGGAAACAGGAGGAUGGCUUUGAAGGUGUAAGGUCCUGCGAAUUCGUCGUCCACUUUGAGCUCCACAAGGGGAUCAAAGCUCUGGAUGCGUUUAGCGUCUUUCAAGUGUAACGUACCUGAGAGAUCUGUCUCGAAGAAAUCUCCUCCAAAGCACCGCCUGCUUCCAUC